rnacentral:rRNA from 1 species
GACGAACGCUGGCGGCGUGCUUAACGCAUGCAAGUCGAACGGAAAGGCCCUGCUUUUGUGGGGUGCUCGAGUGGCGAACGGGUGAGUAACACGUGAGUAACCUGCCCUUGACUUUGGGAUAACUUCAGGAAACUGGGGCUAAUACCGGAUAGGAGCUCCUGCUGCAUGGUGGGGGUUGGAAAGUUUCGGCGGUUGGGGAUGGACUCGCGGCUUAUCAGCUUGUUGGUGGGGUAGUGGCUUACCAAGGCUUUGACGGGUAGCCGACCUGAGAGGGUGACCGGCAACAAUGGGACUGAGAGACGGCACAGAAGACAACGGGAGGCGGCAGGGGGGAAGAUUGCAGAAUGGGGGGAAGCCUGAUGCAGAAACGCCGGGAGCGGGAUGACGGCCUUCGGGUUGAAAACAGAUUUGGCCGGUGACGAAGCGUGAGUGACGGUAAUGGGUAAAGAAGCACCGGCUAACUACGUG